rnacentral:rRNA from 1 species
ACCCGGGGGGGGGUGCUAUACAUGCAAGUCGAACGCGUUGGCCCAAUUGAUUGAUGGUGCUUGCACCUGAUUGAUUUUGGUCGCCAACGAGUGGCGGACGGGUGAGUAACACGUAGGUAACCUGCCCAGAAGCGGGGGACAACAUUUGGAAACAGAUGCUAAUACCGCAUAACAGCGUUGUUCGCAUGAACAACGCUUAAAAGAUGGCUUCUCGCUAUCACUUCUGGAUGGACCUGCGGUGCAUUAGCUUGUUGGUGGGGUAACGGCCUACCAAGGCGAUGAUGCAUAGCCGAGUUGAGAGACUGAUCGGCCACAAUGGGACUGAGACACGGCCCAUACUCCUACGGGAGGCAGCAGUAGGGAAUCUUCCACAAUGGGCGCAAGCCUGAUGGAGCAACACCGCGUGAGUGAAGAAGGGUUUCGGCUCGUAAAGCUCUGUUGUUAAAGAAGAACACGUAUGAGAGUAACUGUUCAUACGUUGACGGUAUUUAACCAGAAAGUCACGGCUAACUACGUGCCAGCAGCCGCGGUAAUACGUAGGUGGCAAGCGUUAUCCGGAUUUAUUGGGCGUAAAGAGAGUGCAGGCGGUUUUCUAAGUCUGAUGUGAAAGCCUUCGGCUUAACCGGAGAAGUGCAUCGGAAACUGGAUAACUUGAGUGCAGAAGAGGGUAGUGGAACUCCAUGUGUAGCGGUGGAAUGCGUAGAUAUAUGGAAGAACACCAGUGGCGAAGGCGGCUACCUGGUCUGCAACUGACGCUGAGACUCGAAAGCAUGGGUAGCGAACAGGAUUAGAUACCCUGGUAGUCCAUGCCGUAAACGAUGAGUGCUAGGUGUUGGAGGGUUUCCGCCCUUCAGUGCCGGAGCUAACGCAUUAAGCACUCCGCCUGGGGAGUACGACCGCAAGGUUGAAACUCAAAGGAAUUGACGGGGGCCCGCACAAGCGGUGGAGCAUGUGGUUUAAUUCGAAGCUACGCGAAGAACCUUACCAGGUCUUGACAUCUUGCGCCAACCCUAGAGAUAGGGCGUUUCCUUCGGGAACGCAAUGACAGGUGGUGCAUGGUCGUCGUCAGCUCGUGUCGUGAGAUGUUGGGUUAAGUCCCGCAACGAGCGCAACCCUUGUUACUAGUUGCCAGCAUUAAGUUGGGCACUCUAGUGAGACUGCCGGUGACAAACCGGAGGAAGGUGGGGACGACGUCAGAUCAUCAUGCCCCUUAUGACCUGGGCUACACACGUGCUACAAUGGACGGUACAACGAGUCGCGAACUCGCGAGGGCAAGCAAAUCUCUUAAAACCGUUCUCAGUUCGGACUGCAGGCUGCAACUCGCCUGCACGAAGUCGGAAUCGCUAGUAAUCGCGGAUCAGCAUGCCGCGGUGAAUACGUUCCCGGGCCUUGUACACACCGCCCGUCACACCAUGAGAGUUUGUAACACCCAAAGUCGGUGGGGUAACCUUUUAGGAGCCAGCCGCCUAAGGUGAACAGGAAUAUG